UCUGAGAUAGAGAUGGAGAGAGAAGGAGACCGCGAGAACGACGGUCUCGCCUCCAUCCUAUCCUCCUCUCGCUGCCGUCUCCCUUCUCUCGCCUCCGUCGUCUUACUCCUCCUUUCUCUGUCUCUAGAAUCGUUCGAUCUAUUCGAAGAGGAUCGAGAGUUCUGAAAUAGUGUUUCGAUAGGUAGGGGGUUAUGCGUGUGCGGUCGUGCUUGAUGAUCGUGCAAGCCAGCGAUUCUGUUUCUACGACAUAGCCUCGACUCUGCUUCCAUCUCCAUUUUCUCUCCUCGCCUUUUCUCUCAAAAAUCACCCACGAGCUCAAAAACCACCAAGCCCUUAGAAAUCUCUUCGAUUCUCUCUCUCAGAAACUAUGAAGCACAACGAUCUCUAGCUGAAAAACCGUGAAUCUGGUCCCAAUUCGAAGGAAAUUUUAAGCCCAGAAAAGCCUUGGUUUCCGGAAUAUUCGUAAUUUAUUUUGGGGGUUUACACUAAAAUUGAGGAAGCACAUAUGAACGCAAAGGCUCGAGGAUGUACGACAACUUGGAUAUGAUAGGAUUGUUCUCUUUGGAAGCUUCUUUCCAGUCUUGAGCUUCUUCUUGCCUGGUGCCUUCUCAUUGAGUAUUGGAGCAUUAAAACACAGGGAGUGCUGAUGUUUUCUGGGAUUUUUUGGUCCUUGCAGGAUUUUGGGUCUUUAAAAUGGGUCUCCACCCCACAUUUCACAAGUUCAAAUUCCAUUGAAGUCGAUUCUGCAGAUUGUGUCUGCAAUUAGAUCAAAGAUCAACCGCUCUUUUGUAUUCUGCGGAAGAUUGCUUUUGGGAAUGAUCUGAAGCAGUUCCUCUAUAUAUAUUUAAUCUCUGGAUAGGAGAAACAAAGAGGAUGACACUUAUAACUGCCCCUCCCCAUUGGCCAUCUUCAAAUUUGGAUCACAAGAAGGGAGCAACAUAGAGUUGGCUUCAUUUCAUUCCAGUGAUUCUCUAAAUAGGUCCAACAGCUCACUAAAUAGGUAAUAAACGUGGUCCAACCAGUAGCUGAUAAAAUGUCAUUGUAUAUAUGCUUUUGUCGAUUUCUGCUACGAUAAUGAGGGAAUCCAAAGGAUCGAGGCCAAUCAAUCUGAGGUUGUUGAAUUUUGAAUUCGAAAUUCCCUUUGGAAACUGUCACAAGUGAUGUGUCUGUUGUGGCUACAAGAAUCAAAAGCGAGUGAAAGGCGCUUCUCAAGACGACGUUGGAACGUGCAGGUGAUGAGGAUUCAGGGGAUGAGGAGGAAAUGGCAAAGGAGGAGGACCAAAACGCGUUCUCUGUUAGGAUAAUUGGUGCCCUGAAUACCAGAAAGUCUGCGCUCACCACUCAUUAAUUAUAUGGUUUGUUCCGUUGGUUUUUAUGGUUUAAAGGUGUUUAAUUUGAUGGUGUUUUUGAUAAAUUGUUGAAAAUAUUGUUAGUUUAGUUA